GUGUGUACCGUAUGCGUGUGAGAGAGUGAGUGAUUGCUUCGCUCCGGCAGCUCUGACAGGCCUGUAGAGUUUCAGUGAGAGGGAUGCUGUACAUGGGAAACAUAAAUGUCUGCCGUGGCAUCAACAUGUCUUGACAUUGCGCGUCAGCAUUCAAACAACUCCAUUACUUAAUGAAGGAUGCAAAUGUGAAUCUGUUUCUCUUUCUCUCCCUGAUGACUUGAGCUAGUUUCAUAUAAUAAUGCCAUUUAAUCGUGUCUCAUUGUUUGUUUGACAAGGCCUCCCUCGGGUGCCGUUACAGCACUUACUUUGUAUUCUCAGCGUGUUCUUUGUGUGCGUCCUUCACCGGGGGGAAAAAAGCAGUUUUGUUUUAUUUCCGACCUCGCGCUCAAUCUUGCUUUUUUUUUUUUUUUUUUUUUUUAAACUGACAAACCCACAAAGCCAGGUAAACAGCACAGACAAAUGUUUGGCGUAAUUUCUCACUCAUUUUGUUUGUAAUGACAGGUGUGAAGGCCAGGAGGAUUGUGGGAAGGAGGAGGAACUGCUAUACUGCCGCUGACACAGGGAACAAUCCCAGCUACGGUGGCUGCUGUAGGACAAGUAUGUUGCCCCACAUAUGUAAAACUUUGUGAAAGGAUACAAUGCAGUGUUUUGUGUAUGUGGCUGGUCUCUAGCCUGGACGCAAACUUGGUAUGGGUCCACCACCAAAGAGUACACCCUGCAUAUGCUCUUCCUUCUCUGCCACAGAGGUCUUAACAGGAAAGUCAAGCUUCAGUAAAAUCGCUGGAUACCGGCCAGUGCACCAUCACCCUCUCCCGAUGUGACAGCGUGUUUGUUUGAUGACGUAUUUGUUCUAGAACUCAUCAGCACUGCUGUUUUAUUUUAAUGGCAAGUCCUUAACCCGAAUGAUUGAUUCUAAUGAGACAUUUUGAUCGGCUUCUA